AGAGUUUGAUCAUGGCUCAGAACGAACGCUGGCGGCAGGCCUAACACAUGCAAGUCGAACGCCCCGCAAGGGGAGUGGCAGACGGGUGAGUAACGCGUGGGAACAUGCCCUUUGGUUCGGAAUAACUCAGGGAAACUUGAGCUAAUACCGGAUAAGUCCGAGAGGAGAAAGAUUUAUCGCUGAAGGAUCGGCCCGCGUCU
rnacentral:rRNA from 1 species